rnacentral:rRNA from 1 species
UACAGAGGGGGCAAGCGUUAUUCGGAAUUAUUGGGCGUAAAGGGCGCGUAGGCGGCCUGGCAAGUGGAUGGUGAAAUCCCUCGGCUUAACCGAGGAACUGCCAUCCAGACUGCUUGGCUUGAGACCGGGAGAGGUGAGUGGAAUUCCCAGUGUAGCGGUGAAAUGCGUAGAUAUUGGGAAGAACACCGGUGGCGAAGGCGGCGACCUGGUCCGUGACUGACGCUGAGGCGCGAAAGCGUGGGGAGCAAACAGG